AUUUUUGUCUUCUCCCCCGCUCCCUAAUUCUGUUGAAGUGGCAAUAACAUCAGGCUUUCACAAGUUCCUGAUGAAAGUAGGGACUGAAUGCCCCAGGACUGUGUGUGCAUGAUGGAGAACAAGAUGGAGACAGAAGGUUUGCUUGGGGCUGGAAGAACAUGUUUUGCCUCUGCAGCCUUAUGAAAACAGCUGAAGUAAAUUACUUUCAGACCACCUGAAGGGAGCAGCUCUAAAUGCUUCAGGGCGUGUGGUUGAACAGACUCCAACUACCAAGAUGGAGAAGCUGAAGUGGAUCACACUGGUCAGGUAACCCUCAUGUGAGAGGCCCAAUUAAUGUGAUGGAUGGGGUUA
rnacentral:lncRNA from 1 species